GCGCGCGGGACGCCCUGCUCCGCCCGCCUCACCCCGCCACCGUUUGCACUUUUUUUUGCACCUUUUCCCCAAGAAGACCAGCUCCUUCCUGGUACCGACUCUGCGUAGAGUCAGGCUCGCCCCGUUUAGACUCCUGGCUCCCCUGAAGACAAGCUCUCGCCCCUUCUCCGGGCGGCUGCUCGGCGCCCUGCACUCUCUUUUACAGACCCCCGCCCCUCGGACCCCUGGGCGCCCUCGGCUGCAGCCCUGACCCCCCAUACCCCCACUUGGGUCUCCUCCGAGCGCUUCCCGGGGUGAGAUCCUGAGUCGGGGGUCCGGGACAGUCUGGGAAUGUCGUGGCGGCCCCCGCCCGCCCUUCCCAGGCAGCUCCUGAAUCCCACCGCCGUCUCCCAGACUGCCAAAAACUCCAGGGUGUCCUUGCCAGGGGUGAAAAAGCGCCGCACUCUUUAAACGUUUCCCUUCCCCCUGGCGAGGAGGAGUCGUUCACUGAAUGUAUCUAAACCUGUGUUUCUGUGUAUCUGCAACGUCCUCUGGGGAGCAGGCUUCCACGUUCCAUCGCAGUCGUCGUAUGAGGUGUGCAAACCACAGGGGAAAAGCAGAACAUGAAAGCAAAAUUGAUAUUAGGAUUUGCAAGAUUGCCGUUUUCAUGGGGAAUUUCUGCUGACUCGUCCCUGAGCCUUGCCUGCCCCUCACAUCCCAGUCGUCUUAGACUGUGAAUUCCAAGAAGGCAGGCAAGGUACUGGUUUCACGUACUUUGAGCUGGG